rnacentral:rRNA from 1 species
GACGAACGCUGGCGGCGUGCUUAACACAUGCAAGUCGAACGGGUCUGCCCUGUUUUUUGCGGGGUGGGUCAGUGGCGAACGGGUGAGUAACACGUGAGUAACCUGCCCCUCACUUCUGGAUAACCGCUUGAAAGGGUGGCUAAUACGGGGUGUUCUGGCUGUGCCGCAUGGUGUGGCUGGGAAAGAUUCACUUUUGUGGUGUUUUGGUGGGGGAUGGGCUCGCGGCCUAUCAGCUUGUUGGUGGGGUGAUGGCCUGCCAAGGCUUUGACGGGUAGCCGGCCUGAGAGGGUGGGCGGUCACACCGGGACUGAGAUACGGCCCAGACUCCUGCGGGAGGCAGCAGUGGGGGGUAUUGCACAAUGGGCGGAAGCCUGAUGCAGCGACGUCGCGUGAGGGAUGGAGGCCUUCGGGUUGUGAACCUCUUUCGCCGGUGAAGAAGGUCCUGCUCUUUGUGGUGGGGUUGACGGUAGCCGGGUUAUGAAGCGCCGGCUAACUACGUG